GAUGAACGCUGGCGGCGUGCCUAAUACAAGCAAGUCGAGCGAACGGACGAGAAGCUUGCUUCUCUGAUGUUAGCGGCGGACGGGUGAGUAACACGUGGAUAACCUACCUAUAAGACUGGGAUAACUUCGGGAAACCGGAGCUAAUACCGGAUAAUAUUUUGAACCGCAUGGUUCAAAAGUAAAAGACGGUCUUGCUGUCACUUAUAGAUGGAUCCGCGCUGCAUUAGCUAGUUGGUAAGGUAACGGCUUACCAAGGCAACGAUGCAUAGCCGACCUGAGAGGGUGAUCGGCCACACUGGAACUGAGACACGGUCCAGACUCCUACGGGAGGCAGCAGUAGGGAAUCUUCCGCAAUGGGCGAAAGCCUGACGGAGCAACGCCGCGUGAGUGAUGAAGGUCUUCGGAUCGUAAAACUCUGUUAUUAGGGAAGAACAUAUGUGUAAGUAACUGUGCACAUCUUGACGGUACCUAAUCAGAAAGCCACGGCUAACUACGUG
rnacentral:rRNA from 1 species